AUGCUGUGCUUGACUCCUAGACAAGAAGAAGAGCUGAAGAACGUGGAGAAAAAAUCCACGGGUUCAAAACCCACGAAGCUGGCAGUUUCCACAAUUUCAGAACCCAUCACCACCAUGUUACUUAUAUUUUCUUCCUCCACUUUACUGGCACCCUUUUCUGCUUCAGAAAUUGAAAUCGCGAGUAACCGGAGUGUAAAAACUAGUCAGACCCAAAAACCUUCCUUUCUCAGUCCACACCACACCUGCUACCCUGUAACUAAAGAAAGCGGAAAUUGCUUCGAAAGAGAAAAAUACGGCAUAUGUUGUUAGCGCUGAAUGCUGAGGUUCGGAGGACCAAGGCUCGAUUGCUUGAGGAGGUUCCCAAGUUGCAGAGGUUGGCUGUAAAGCACCAAUGAAGAAAGCAUUUAGAUUUGAUGGGUUUGAUGUCAAUGGGAUUAAUGGAGAUGAUGUGGCUCAUAGAAUCAAAGCACGAUAUGUAAAAUGGAGGGUUUUGUUAAGCAUAUAAAAAACAGAUAAUUUCAUUGAUAAAGCCUGGGCAUGUGCACACACACAAACACAUGCAAAAAGUGGUAGGGAGGCAUAAAGUGCACGAGUCUAGCACCGUCAAGUUGAACCCAACAAGGCACUAAAUUCAUCCACAUCAAAUCCUCUUAGUCUUUUAGGUGACCAACCACCAGGUUAAAAAAGAAAUGCAUUUCUUGGAAGUGAAAAAAUACAAACGACACACCCUUUUGCUUUCAUCCAUAUCAGCAGUUGUUGCGGCUCUUAAUCCUUCAAAGAGGAGCAAUGUAUCUACAGCUGAGUUGAAGGGACUAAUUGGGAUCUUUGGCUCUCUGUCACACACACUUCUACUCCUUGGAAACUUAGACAUAGAGGGCGUAGCACAACUUUUUCUCAGUGCAGGACUUUCACCUCCCUUUGAACCCGCCAUCUUUCUCAAGAGUCCACCGCCAAACGAACUCCGAAUUCCGCCAUUCAAGCCUCCAUCUCUUCCCACUCGCCCCCUAAUUUGGAUAUUGUUAGCAAACUAAAACAAAUUAACAAAUUUCCUUUUCUCUCCAUCUUUGCUUUCGCUUACCUAAAUUGCAUUUGUUUUUUUGGCAUCCGCAUAUGGUUUCACUUUAGUUUCUAAUUUUUUAAAGCAUGAACAUGACCUGCUUGAAUGUCUAAUCAUGUUUUCCUUUGUACUUACUUGGAUUUCACUGUGCACUUCGUAUUAGUUUUUGGUUAAAUAAAUAUUCAGUUUAAGUUUCAUGCUUCAUGAUUUGUAAUGUUAGAAUUCUUUUGUAGUUACACUGUUAGAAUCCUGAAAUUUAAGUAUUUGCUUCAAGUUGGUUUGUUGGUUGUAUUUUGAGGCUAUGUAAUUAUGUGGUUGUUGUACUUCAUUCUAAUUACUGUUUAUAUAUAUUUAUUUUAGUAUGAAUCACAGUUAGACAGUCAUCCAAUUGCUUCAGGUAUGACUUAUGAAAAUUAAAAAGUUUUUCAAAUCUACAUGUCUCAUUGAAACUUUGGAAUUUUAUCUCAACAGAUUCUAUCGUCUCUCACCUCUCUGAUGUAUAAGCAAUCAUUGAAGCAAAGAAGCAAAGAUAACUUUCAGGAGAGCUUGGGUACGAAAUCCAAAUACAAGAAGCGGUCGUUCGCCCAAAUUGUCUAACCAUUCUUCGCUUUAAAGAAAGCGGAAAUUGCUUCGAAAGAGAAAAAUAGGGCAUAUGCUGUUGCGCUGAACGCUGAGAUUCGGAGGGCCAAGGCUCGAUUGCUUGAGGAGGUUCCCAAGUUGCAGAGGUUGGCUGUAAAGUUGGUAGGUGAGAACAUCUUUUUGGCCAUGACUGAUAUGAAACCCAAGCCAGGAAGGUGAACGGGGUGAAAGGGUUCUAAGAAGAGGAGGACCGCAUGUAUACAGAUUAUGCUAUGAUUUUUUUCCUUCUAUUUUUUUUUUCUCCUGGGAUUCCUUUGGUAGAGGAAUUAAAAGCAAAAUGAGGAUGAUAGAGAUGGAGGGAGUUCAAGUGGAGGAAAACUGCUAAAGGACUUACUGCCCGCGGCUGUGUUUCUUCUCUUUUUAGAGGUUUUCAAGGGGGGUUCAACUUCCCAAAGUGCAGGAGGCUUGCAGAGGAAUUGUUCAUGGUUUUAUUCCUUCUGAAUACAGAAUCAAAUGUUUGGGUUUGGGGUACAAAAUCGUGAUGUCUAACUAAUUCACCAAUCCUCUCAGGGGAUCCAUUUGCUACAUGAAUUAAAAUAGAGUCGGAGGGAGGAAAAGGGUGGAAAGGUUUUUCUGUGUUUUUUUUAAAAUUAUACUUCAAGUU